CCACUAGAUAGAGCAGGGAGAGUUCUGUGAUCCCCAAUAGGGCCUUUGUAGACGCUAUCCCUUUGUGGAGAAGACUCUCAACACCCUUCAAAUACUAUGAUCUCAUCAGGAAGGCCCUCCCUGACCACCUAUGCCUGGCUGUUGUCUGAACAAUGAAUCCUGGAAGCACCUAGGAGAAGGCACCUAGGAGAAACGUCUUAGGGAGUAGUCCCGCGGGUCCGCCCCAGGACAGUAACGCUGUCAGUUUCCCCGCCCUUUGCACCUGUAGUGCAGACGGUACCAAAUGCGAUGGCUUUGAGACGUCCUCUAGACAUCGGAGCCCAUCAUUUACCACAAAGAACACUGAAGUACUUACUUUAGCAGAACAUUUUCCGAAGAAAAAUUAACAGGGAGAGGAAAUGAAGGACACUAACAAACAGACCCCAUCUCUAGAGUCUGAGAUCAAACCCAAGUCCGAUGGAGCCCGGGCAUCUGGUGGAGGAAAGCGGGCAGGCAUAGCCCCAAUCCUGGUCCUCAACAAGAUAUUUCUGUGAAUGAAUCCCUCUGCUCCCUGGAGGAGGGCACAUUACA
rnacentral:lncRNA from 10 species